UACGUAGGGCGCAAGCGUUGUCCGGAAUUAUUGGGCGUAAAGGGCUCGUAGGCGGUUUGUCGCGUCGGGAGUGAAAUCCACUGGCUUAACUGGUGGCUUGCUUUCGAUACGGGCAGACUGGAGGUAUGCAGGGGAGAACGGAAUUCCUGGUGUAGCGGUGAAAUGCGCAGAUAUCAGGAGGAACACCGGUGGCGAAGGCGGUUCUCUGGGCAUGUCCUGACGCUGAGGAGCGAAAGUGUGGGGGGCGAACAGG
rnacentral:rRNA from 1 species